UCCAGGCCCUACGGGGUGCAGCAGGCGCGAAACCUCCGCAAUGUGAGAAAUCGCGACGGGGGGAUCCCAAGUGCCAUUCUUAACGGGAUGGCUUUUCAUUAGUGUAAAGAGCUUUUGGAAUAAGAGCUGGGCAAGACCGGUGCCAGCCGCCGCGGUAACACCGGCAGCUCUAGUGGUAGCAGUUUUUAUUGGGCCUAAAGCGUCCGUAGCCGGUUUAAUAAGUCUCUGGUGAAAUCCUGCAGCUUAACUGUGGGAACUGCUGGAGAUACUAUUAGACUUGAGAUCGGGAGAGGUUAGAGGUACUCCCAGGGUAGAGGUGAAAUUCUGUAAUCCUGGGAGGACCGCCUGUUGCGAAGGCGUCUGACUGGAACGAUUCUGACGGUGAGGGACGAAAGCUAGGGGCGCGAACCGGAUUAGAUACCCGGGUAGUCCUAGCUGUAAACGAUGCGGACUUGGUGUUGGGGUGGCUUUGAGCUGUCCCAGUGCCGAAGGGAAGCUGUUAAGUCCGCCGCCUGGGAAGUACGGUCGCAAGACUGAAACUUAAAGGAAUUGGCAGGGGAGCACCACAACGCGUGGAGCCUGCGGUUUAAUUGGAGUCAACGCCGG
rnacentral:rRNA from 1 species